ACAAAGUGUAUCGGGUUUUAGUAGACAAAAAUACCCUCAUAUAUUAUGGAUUCUAAGUUUUAAGGUCAAGGGUAUUUGAAUAAUUUUCAUUCUCAAAACUAAAAAAAGAAAAACAAGAAACCCCUAAACCCUUACUCAUCCCUCAUCUCUCUUAACCAUUUCUCUUUCAUCUCUCAUUCUAACCUUCUCUCUGUCAUUCCUACAGUAGCUCCAACUGAAAAAAUUAGAAACACCACCUAACCCUAAUCUACCUUCCUCGCUUAUCCAAUUUGUUUCUCUCUCAUCUCCAUCAUCUCUCUCACCCACACAAUAACCCGCAAUACUACAAUUUGUUGUUCUUG
rnacentral:lncRNA from 1 species